AAUUAGAUAUUUGCCAGGAAUUAAUACCUUUUCCCGCAAUUAAAGAGAAUGGACGCCAAACAGUUCGGUGCCCCCAAUAAUUAGAUUCCAACUUUUCCUAAUUUGAUCUUCCCUCCAACCUUUUAUUUGUUCCCUCCCUCUAUCAUUCCCUCCUUGUAACCUAGAACAUAAACCCAAAUCAAAUCAUUUCCCAACCGAAUAUCCCAAUCGUCGGCAGCGCCAAUACCGGCUGCCAUCACCAGGUAAACGGACUCCUCUCUCUUUAUAUAUAUUUCUUCUCCAUUUGUUUCGACUUCUCAUCGUUGUUUAUGACUCUCUUUCUAUCUCUAAAAUAUGAACCUCUUAACUCUCAACCUUGUCUCUGGUUAGUUUUCGCCGUUCCAACAUUGGUACAUACUCAAAUAUUAUGUUUGGUUUUUUUGUCUAUUUUAUUUUUUGCAUCUUUUCGCUGAUUUUUACUUUUAGUAAAUAUUUUAUGCAUCUAGCGAUGUGCAUAAUAUUUUAUUCAAUUUUUUUGGUAAUUCAUGUAAUACAAGAACCACUCCAGUAAGCACAUAUGUGUAUGUUAUGUCAUUAAGAUGGAUUAUUUAGCAUCUCCCCAUGCCUUUGAUUAAUUUAGUGGAGUGAGGAUUAGAAUAUUAUGCUAUUUUCCGAGAAAGAAGAUCUACAAUUACGCCUCAUCUCAAACUAGUUAAAAUGAAAAUUCCUAUUUGUGUAAUAAGUGAGAGAGUUGUUGCUCAUUUGGCAGCAAUUGUUAUUUUGUGACAGUUAUAAAUUUAAGUUUUAACUGAUUUAUGGUUUAGGGGGAUAUGAUGUGAAUAUCUACAAUGAGAAUGGUGAAGAUUGAUGAUAUGAUUGAUUUUGGCUUGUAGAAAUAUUGAUUCAUAGUCAAUUUGAGCGAUCAAUUGCAAGUGGGCUAUGUACGUUGAAAUACCAUGGACACGUGUGAAUUUCUUCACAUUACGGUAAUCUAGUUUUAGUUCACUUGUGAUAGUGCACGCUAAAUUACCUUCUUCUCUUAUUCGUUGGACCAUAUUGCUUUAGAAAAAAAUUUACCAAUCUUCCGUAGCAGUUUCUUGGCUAGUUUUCCAUGAGCAAUACACAAACGGGGUUGACCAAAUACUUAGAUAUAGUAUCUUUUGAUUUUGUAAUGCAAUCUUUUAUUUUUUGUUCCUUUGAUUCUUCGCUUUCAACAAACCAGAUAAAGGAUAUGAGAAGAAGAGAACGUGUCAUUGUGUAUGGUUUUUCCAAAGAAUACGAGGCAAAAGAGAGAGAUCUUACUGUAUGCCUCUAUUUAUUUCAUAUCUAAUAAUUGUUAGUUAGUGCGUGCUCUGCAUUUAUUGUAAUGAUAUUGUCUCUGCUAUUAUGUCCUACUUCACUUGCGACCAGCUUAUAUGGUGUUUGCAGAUCAAGGAAGAGAGUAGAUUUCAGAUUACCAUGCCCUAACAUGGCUGGGAAGUUGACCUGCAUAUGUCAGGUAUGACUUUUCUAAAAAUUUGUCCUUUUUAUAUUUGUUGUUGUAGUCUCUUUGGAUUUUUACGUAUAUCCCAGCAAUUCUCCGUUCAAAUGUCAUUUUUGUAUAUUUGUACUUGAUGGAGUUAAUUGGAUAAAGCUAACAGAGAAGUUGUAAGACCAUUAGCGUGAAGAAGAAUCAUAGGGUAACACAACUGUUAGAGAAAAGAAUCACAGCGUAAAAUAGUCUUCAAUUGUUUCUAAUGCCUUCUGCUUUAUUUGAGUUUGAAUGAUGAUUAUAUAAACAUAUUCUAUCCAAGAAAUAUGAAUUAGAUAUUUCAUAUUCAUAUCCCUUACUUGUGGAGUGCGUGAAUAAAUUUGGCGCUAUACUAAUUCGACUUAGUAACACCAUUAAUUUGGAUAAUGCCAUUAAGAGACGAAUGUUCAUUGCUAGUACCACAGUUGAUAUAUUAAAAAAUGAGUAUACCUCUAAAAAUAUGUUGCAACCUGCUUGAAAAAAUUGUGGAAGUUAGGUGAAAAUUAAAGUUAGACAUUUGGUCGAGCAUGGUUGUCCCUCGCUAAAUUGCCACUGGUCAGAGGUUCUAUAGAUCAAGUUUAACCAUAUAAGUUUUUGCCAUUUGAUGACCUUUUAAUCUUCUAUUCUAGGUAAUUUGGAGCCAAGAAAGAUUCGUGGGCCUACUUUACUAAAAGAUAUUUGUUUGUGUCCCUUUCUAGUUAUGGACUUUUAGUUUUAUAACCUCGCAAAUUAUUAUCAGCUUUCUUGUGUGGCAACGUUUACUUCCUAUUGACAUAGUUAUUUUAUAAUUUCAGGUCAUACAGUAUGAUGUUUGAUAAUUUAACGGGUGGAAGAUUUCAAUAUGAUGAAGAGUUUCAGAGAUUAUUUGAAGAUUGUUAUUCGUUAAGAUUAGUUAUAUAGUGACAUUAGAACCAUAAGUUAGCAGGUAGAAGAUUUCAAUAUGACAAAGAGUUUCAGAGAUUAUUUGAAGAUUGUUAUUUGUUAAGAUUAGUUAUAUAGUGACAUUAGCUAUUUACUUCAAACAAUGAGUUACUGUUUAAGGUUUUGUGAUAUUAAUAUUUUGGAUUAGUACUUCCUUUUGUUCGUCAAGAUUUAACGAGAUAUACUAUAGUUUUUCGAAUUAAUAUCAAUAUGUUUUGUUAUUUGCAAUAUUUUUUGGUCGAAUGUAGUAGCUAUUAUUGAUGGUGGCUAAAUUUACUGAUAUAGCUUGUGAAUUUUAGUGCCAAUUUAACAGGAUUAAGACGUUUAUACAGGAA
rnacentral:lncRNA from 1 species